rnacentral:piRNA from 1 species
ACGGACAAGAUCAGGACUUGAGCAG